AAGCAAUGACGAAAGUUAACGCUGGCGGUGAUGGUUGGGUCCAUCACAAUCGUCCGAUUAACUAAGACGAAGUGUGAAGCGUUCCUGAGCUU